rnacentral:lncRNA from 1 species
UGCGAUUGCUGCUGUAUUUAUUUGAAACAUUACUUAAAUUUACGUUGUUUUUAUCUUCAAGAAAAAAACAUGUUAGUUUUAAUUAAAGCCUAAAGGUAGUAAAGCGACGUUAUUUCAGUUACUGAACGAUUCUACAAUACUAGAAGCAACUAUAUAAAGCCAAUGUUUUCUGGAAGAGAAAACAUGUUACAUGGCUAAGCACACUUUAACAAAAAAAGCAACUACAGCUGAUUUAAGCAAUUAUAAAUGUAACACAAAAGACAGUCCUUUUCAAGCGGUCGUUUCCAUGAGAUCUGAAGAGCAGUUCUAGGCCAAAUUAUUAAACAUUUGUACUGUAAACGUAAACAUCCAUGCAUGUGU